rnacentral:lncRNA from 1 species
CGGCGCUGCAAAACUCAAACGCGAAGCACCGAAGCUGUAACAAAAUUCUUAGGUUGAAACACAAUCAAACAAAAAGAAGAACGCCAAGAUCGGUGUGGUUGGGAAAUCAGGACCUGGUGGUGGUGUCGACGGCGCUGAGGCCGCUGCGGGCACGACGUGUGGGCGACAAGGUCGGAGUUGCACCAACCUGAGUAUUUUCAACCUGACCAAUUUAGCUCCAAUAUUUUCAACCUGAUCAUGACAAAAGUUCAGUCAGGACUAAAUAUGUUAGAAAAGUACAGGGAAACAAAACUCCAGUGUUGUAGAAGAGUUGUUGCAACCUCUGUAUUAAGUACACAAAAAUAAGAAGGAUUCAAUAAUAUAUACAGGCAAAAAAAGAAGAGUUGCCAUCAAUGCUUCAGUUCUGCACUUAUCGAUGCAGUGGUAUAUAUACCAAUUCAUAGUACUGUCACAAAUCCUUGACUUUAUAAUUUAGUUUUGACAUUCACAUAUCACUUAGUAUGCCUAUUGAUAUAUAUUUUUAACAUGACUUACAGUUUACAUAAAGCAAUCAGAAAGUAUCAAUACCAAUCUGUGUUACCCCAAUGAAAGCGUAUAUCACUAUAAACAGUAUUCCAUGAAAGAGAAACCCAAAGUAGACAACAUUUGCCCAUGGAGUACAAAUAUUGACCUCAUUUAGUGGUAAUUCAUGUGUACUCCUAAACAGACGAUGAAGGCUAUGUUUCAGUUACCAAAAAGUGAAAAUAACAGAAGUAAGAAGUACAGUUGCAGUGAUUACAAUUUGGCAUCAGGGACA